GACAGGAGUCUAACAUGUGCGCGAGUCUUCGGGUCGUCCGAAAACUCGACGAAACCUGAAAGGCGCAAUGAAAGUGAAGGUCGACCGUCGGCCCUCGUCGACUUCGGUCGGCGCGGGGCCGCGGUGCAGGCCGAGGCGGGAUCCGAAGCUAAAACGCUGAUCGGAUAAAACCGUAAGCAAAAAAAUCUUGACCAAAGCCGGGUCGGGGAGAGCCGAUCUGGGGUCGGGAGGAGAUUGGGGAGGACUCGUCCUCUCCGUCUUCUUCUGUCUCCCGGAGAAGCCCGUCUUCCGUUCUUCCCCCUUCUGCCCCCUUCGAGCGACCUUUCGGGGAAGCGAGGAGGAGGUGUCGCGGGGGGUCGGGGACGCGAUUAAAGAAACCCCGCCAUCCCGGUCGGCGCACCGCCGGCCCGUCUCUACCGCACCGUCGGUGAGGCGGAGCAAGAGCGUACACGUUGGGACCCGAAAGAUGGUGAACUAUGCUCGGGCAGGACGAAGCCAGAGGAAACUCUGGUGGAGGUCCGUAGCGAUUCUGACGUGCAAAUCGAUCGUCGGACCUGAGUAUAGGGGCGAAAGACUAAUCGAACCGUCUAGUAGCUGGUUCCCUCCGAAGUUUCCCUCAGGAUAGCUGGCGCUCGGUGAGGAACGCAGUCUCAUCCGGUAAAGCGAAUGAUUAGAGGCCUUGGGGCCGAAACGACCUCAACCUAUUCUCAAACUUUCAAUGGGUGAGAAGUCCGGCAUGCUCGACUGAAGCCCGGACGGCGUCCGCCGAUUUAAAGAACGGACGCACGAAAAACAAAUGACGCGGCGGCUUUCGUUGCUCGUGCCCGGCCGGGGGUCAAACCUCGGACGGCGAGUACGGGUAUUCGAACCAAAAAAGCCGACCGUGAGAGAACGGAUGCGAGUGCCCAGUGGGCCAUUUUUGGUAAGCAGAACUGGCGCUGUGGGAUGAACCAAACGCCGGGUUACGGCGCCCGAUGCGGACGCUUAUCAGACCCCAUGAAAGGUGUUGGUUGCUAUAGACAGCAGGACGGUGGCCAUGGAAGUCGGAANNNNNNNNNNNNNNNNNNNNNNNNNNNUCGGCCCUAAGGAAUAGGGGAAACCCGUUCCGAAGCGUGGGGAAUGUAGACAUGUGUGUGUGCAGUCGUCGUUGUUGUUGUUGUGUGAGAGAGAAAGAGAAGAAGAAGCGUCGUCGKGGMGGASAACCUYUUGCACGAGGAGAACCGWASACACGCGCGCUCAAACACACAACACAACACGAAACGAAAACAAAACAAAAAAACAAAAAAAAACAUUGCCCCCGAAUGACCGAAAGGGAAUCGGGUUAAUAUUCCCGAACCCGGACGCGGAGAUCGGCCUCUCGGGGCCCAUUGCGGUAACGCAAACGAACUCGGAGAAGUCGGCGGGAGUCCCGGGAAGAGUUGUCUUUUCUUUGUAAGGGACGGACUCCCUGGAAUCGGCUCGCCCGGAGAGAGGGAUGUUGUUCCCGUAAAGCACCGCGGCUCUUGCGGUGUCCGGAGCACUCCCGCCGGCCCUUGAAAAUCCGAGGGAGAGAAAAUGAUUUUCGCGCCGGACCGUACCCAUAUCCGCAGCAGGUCUCCAAGGU
rnacentral:rRNA from 1 species